rnacentral:rRNA from 1 species
UACGGAGGGUGCAAGCGUUAUCCGGAUUUAUUGGGCUUAAAGGGUGCGCAGGCGGGCCUUUAAGUCAGUGGUGAAAUCCCUUCGCUUAACGAAGGAACUGCCAUUGAUACUGAAGUUCUUGAAUCUAGUUGACGUUAGUGGAAUGUGUCAUGUAGCGGUGAAAUGCUUAGAUAUGACACAGAACACCGAUCGCGAAGGCAGCUAACGAAGCUAGUAUUGACGCUCAGGCACGACAGCAUGGGGAGCAAACAGG